rnacentral:rRNA from 1 species
GGCCCUGCUUGCAGGGUACUCGAGUGGCGAACGGGUGAGUAACACGUGGGUGAUCUGCCCUGCACUUCGGGAUAAGCCUGGGAAACUGGGUCUAAUACCGGAUAGGAGCCAUUUUUAGUGUGAUGGUUGGAAAGUUUUUUCGGUGUAGGAUGAGCUCGCGGCCUAUCAGCUUGUUGGUGGGGUAAUGGCCUACCAAGGCGGCGACGGGUAGCCGGCCUGAGAGGGUGGACGGCCACAUUGGGACUGAGAUACGGCCCAGACUCCUACGGGAGGCAGCAGUGGGGAAUAUUGCACAAUGGGCGCAAGCCUGAUGCAGCGACGCCGCGUGGGGGAUGACGGCCUUCGGGUUGUAAACUCCUUUCGCUAGGGACGAAGCUUUUUGUGACGGUACCUAGAUAAGAAGCACCGGCUAACUACGUGCCAGCAGCCGCGGUAAUACGUAGGGUGCGAGCGUUGUCCGGAAUUACUGGGCGUAAAGGGCUCGUAGGUGGUUUGUCGCGUCGUCUGUGAAAUUCCGGGGCUUAACUCCGAGCGUGCAGGCGAUACGGGCAUGACUUGAGUACUGUAGGGGUAACUGGAAUUCCUGGUGUAGCGGUGAAAUGCGCAGAUAUCAGGAGGAACACCGAUGGCGAAGGCAGGUUACUGGGCAGUUACUGACGCUGAGGAGCGAAAGCAUGGGUAGCGAACAGGAUU